UUCUAUUAUCUCCCCCUCUCUCUCCACAAUUUGCAGCCCCCUAGGCAAUCGCCUAGGGCCUCAAAAAUUGAGGCUUACGCUCAGUACCUCAAAACUCAUAGUAAUACCAUUAUCCCAACUGCCCAUGUUUGAGUCCAGUAGAAACUUAAGCCAUUAAGGAAAUUGAACGGACACUACGAGAAGGAAAUUGAAGGGACGAGAAGGAAAUUGAAGGCCGAUUCAAUCAAAAGGUUACACAGAAAAAGUUGGACGAUUUUACCCCUGGUGCGAUACUGACUGCAAUUGAACAGCAAGCUCGUUUUUCUCUACUCUACGGACUCAGAUAGGUCCGCUCUGAUCCUUUGACACCAAGGUGGAGAUUGUUAGACAUCAUGUUGUCAAACGACCUCUCGGACGAUGAUGUAAACCAGUUUUAUCAGUCGACAUGAAUGACUGAACGAUAAAUCAACAUCGAAUAAUGGGAUGACCCGACUUAACGUUGUUUUACCUAUUGGAUGGCUAAUAAACCUUUGUGGCUUGUUGGUGUGCUAUUGGGCCAUAACCCUAGUCGAGCCCACUUACCAUAUGUAUAACUUACCUUAUUGUUUGUCAUUGGUUUAUUAUUUAUAUUGGUAACUCUCAUAGCCUUCUAAGGUCCCGUUUUUGUGAAAGAACCCGAGAGAGAGAGAGAGAGAGGCCGUGUCUUCUUCUUCUUCGUGCAUUCUACUUCUUGAUCUUGUGUACAUCUUGCUUGUGUCUUUGUGACCCUUACCUGUGUGGUAUUCAUUCUUUGUGAGUGAGCAAACAACAAGCAGAAGGAAGAAAAGCAACCAUAGGUAGAACUCGUGAGGUUGGCGGCGGGUACCUUCGGUUUUGGUGUUGAUUCGGCGUUUUAAAGAUUAACUGAGCCCGAAAAUCAUCUUGAGCAGCUUGAGGAAGAUCCUAACAAUGUUGAAAGUGUUAAAGCAAAAAUAUUUCAAGCUCCAUAGAUAAAAAAUGCUCUACUUGAAUUGGCAAUCGUUGAUGAUCCUAAAACAAAAAGUGAGGCGGGGUGUUUGGCAACAUACGAAAUAGAAAAUUUUGAAUUCUUACUUGGGAUGGUUAUUUGGUAUGAAGUGUUGAAUAAUGUUAAUAGAGUAAGCAAACAUUUGCAAAUAGAAGACAUCCAUAUUGAUAUUACUAUAGACCAUUUAAAAUGGCUCAUUUCAUUUUUCAAAGGUUAUAGAGAAAUUGAGUUUGAA